UAUUCGGAUCAAAUUUUCAUGAUUUUUUUUGGAUCAAAUUUUUAUGAUCUUCCUCGGAUCAAGUUCUUAUGAUCUUUUUUGGAUCAAAUUUUUUAUGAUCUUUCUCGGAUAACAUUCCUAUGCAUAAGCCCAUAGGGGCUAUCCCAAACAUAAGCUUCUAGCCAGCUGUUUCUCAAUCUUUAUCGGAUCGAAUUCCCACACAUAAGCUCAUGGAGGUUGUUCCACA
rnacentral:lncRNA from 1 species